rnacentral:rRNA from 1 species
UACGUAGGGUGCGAGCGUUGUCCGGAAUUAUUGGGCGUAAAGAGCUCGUAGGCGGUUUGUUGCGUCGGCCGUGAAAACCUGCAGCUUAACUGUGGGCCUGCGGCCGAUACGGGCAGACUUGAGUUUGGUAGGGGAGACUGGAAUUCCUGGUGUAGCGGUGAAAUGCGCAGAUAUCAGGAGGAACACCGGUGGCGAAGGCGGGUCUCUGGACAGUUCCUGACACUGAGACACGAAGGCCAGGGGAGCAAACGGG